rnacentral:lncRNA from 1 species
CUCGCCUAGGCAGACGACACACUGCUGUUGCAUGGAGUAAAAAAGUUUCAGGUCCAUUAUUGCGCCUGCACAAGCUAACAUAAAUUAUCUAGACGUUAGCCACUGUGUAAGAAGAGCCUUGUUUUGGACCCAGGACCUGGUGUUGAACCACGCAAGGAUGUUGUUCUGAGUCCAGAGGAAUGUUCUUUAGCCUCAGAGUGCAGCAGACAUAAUGCGGGAAAAACCCACACCACCGUCACGAAUCAAUCAACGGGGGUGGACGCGGGUUGAUUCCACCUAAGUAGCUUUGCGAUUAAAAUCUGCGGCGGGUUUGGAUGAGAAGCAUUAGCCCUGAUGGGUGACGUUAGCCGGGGUCAGGGGUUAAAUUGCCCUUAUAGAGCGCGAGAAUAGUUUCCAGCUUUUCAAUUGUUUUGUUUUGCUUUCUGGUGACCACACGGAGAUCUAAUUUUGAUGCCGGGGAAACGGGCAAAGGUUCUCUGUCUUGAUUGGGCCGAGUCGAGCCAGAUGGCUUUCAGGACGGCGUUUAACGCCGGGCGGAGCCGCCGAUCAAUACUCUUCAGCCUGUGAGGUAAUCGUUCUUCUUUUUGUUCACGUGUGAUUUAGAGACUAAUGAAAGCACUCUGUCGCGAUCGUUACAGUAAUCCCCGCUUUACUUUUGUUUUAACCCGUCACUUUCAUUCGCCUUUCGCGGAGCCCGGUUCAAUAAAGUCUGAGAAUUCCACCCCCGCCUCCUGCCAGAGGUCCCCCCACCCUAACCACUCAAUGACAAUAACAAUCCGCCGGAGGAGCAACGACGGGGGAACGAUCGCAGGUCGGCUCAAUUGCUCCGAAGGGUCCUUCAAGGAGGAGGAAACUCGCAGAGCAAAGGAAAUGAGUGACACCGAGGAGCAAAUGGGGCCGUGGAGAGACCCCGGAGGGCUGCUCGUGCGCUCCGCCGCGCUCUCAACGCAUACAAGAAUGCAAAAGGCAGCACCCACUUUAGAAGAGACACUUGAAGUGAAGAGGACGGGGGCGGAGCCUCUGCGUAUCCGCAAGUAGCCUCUCUGUCUCCCCUCGGCCCAACCUGCUGCUUUAGCUGCAACCCUCUUUCACGGCUGCUACACCUUCUCUGCGAUUGAUACCAUCAGUUCUGCAUGUCUUAGCAUUAUUAGCGUCGGCCAUUUCAUUGUUUGCUCAGCGCGAUGCUAACACAUUGAGAUGUCAACAUCUCCCCCACCCCCAACAAUCGCACGAGUGGGUUGUUUGAAUGUUUAUCUACUCCUCGUACUUCAGCGGGGUUAAGAGUCACCUGCAGCAGAUUCAAUACAUUUUUAAUGAAGCCUUUUUUU